rnacentral:rRNA from 1 species
AUUGAACGCUGGCGGCAUGCCUUACACAUGCAAGUCGAACGGCAGCACGGGAGCAAUCCUGGUGGCGAGUGGCGAACGGGUGAGUAAUAUAUCGGAACGUGCCCAGUCGUGGGGAUAACGUAACGAAAGCUACGCUAAUACCGCAUACGAUCUAUGGAUGAAAGCGGGGGAUCGCAAGACCUCGCGCGAUUGGAGCGGCCGAUAUCAGAUUAGGUAGUUGGUGAGGUAAAGGCUCACCAAGCCGACGAUCUGUAGCUGGUCUGAGAGGACGACCAGCCACACUGGGACUGAGACACGGCCCAGACUCCUACGGGAGGCAGCAGUGGGGAAUUUUGGGACAAUGGGCGCAAGCCUGAUCCAGCAAUGCCGCGUGCAGGAUGAAGGCCUCGGUUGGUAACG